AACUAUUAUUAUAUUUAUUUUGAAAGUAGAUUAAAAGUAUUGAGUUACUUAGUAGUUU
rnacentral:tRNA from 1 species